rnacentral:rRNA from 1 species
AGAGGUGGCGAACGUUGUUCGGAUUUACUGGGCGUAAAGGGUCCGCAGGCGGAUCGGUAUGUCAGAUGUGAAAGCCCACAGCUUAACUGCGGAAUUGCAUUUGAAACUGCCGGUCUAGAGUACUGGAGGGGAGAAGGGAACACUUGGUGUAGCGGUGAAAUGCGUAGAUAUCAAGUGGAACACCGGAGGCGAAGGCGCUUCUCUGGACAGAUACUGACGCUCAUGGACGAAAGCUAGGGUAGCGAAAGGGAUUAGAUACCCCUGUAGUCCUAGCCGUAAACGGUGUGCACUAGACGUGGGUGGAUUUACCCCCAUCCGUGUCUGAGCUAACGCAUUAAGUGCACCGCCUGGGGAGUACGGUCGCAAAGAUUA